rnacentral:rRNA from 1 species
UACGUAGGGUGCGAGCGUUGUCCGGAUUUAUUGGGCGUAAAGCGCGUGUAGGCGGUCCGGUAAGUCCGCUGUGAAAGUCGGGGGCUCAACCCUCGGAUGCCGGUGGAUACUGUCGGGCUUGAGUACGGAAGAGGCGAGUGGAAUUCCUGGUGUAGCGGUGAAAUGCGCAGAUAUCAGGAGGAACACCAAUUGCGAAGGCAGCUCGCUGGACGUUACUGACGCUGGAGACGCGAAAGCGUGGGAGCAAACAGG